rnacentral:lncRNA from 1 species
GUAGCAUAAAUACAAUAAAAUAAACUAAUAUAACAUUUAAUUAAAUAUACAAUAAAUUUCUUUUAGAAAACAAAAAAGUUGUUAGAAACAAAUAACACCAUAAAAUAAAUAAAAGUCCAAAGGAGUCUGGUUACGGUAGUUCAGAAUUUGGCUAUAUCCAAAUAAUAACAGCAGUAUAUAGCAGGCUUAUUACGCAGCUACUUGUUGUAUUUUUAUUAGCUUGUCUUCUUUAAGAUGUACUUCCACUAUAAUUCUUCUUAUUGGAAUGGAUGUACUUCCAUGCUGGUGGCAGGUCAACCAUUGGCCUAUCAUUGACAAGGUUGACCUGCAAGUUCUGUCUCCCGUCUCCUAGUUAUCUCGAUCCUCUCUGCUAGUAAGGCUUGUGAUUCAUUUCUAAUGGGUUUUACAAUUCUAGCAUUGUGCCAUCCACCCUUAUGUUUGCAAUGUGGGCCUCCAUUGCUAAUGCAAAAUUUGAACACUGCGUUAGCAACAGAGGCCUGUAAUGCAAACAUAAGGGUGGAUUGGCAAGACCUACCAUUAUUUUUAUAUGAUGAUAGGUCUUAGGAUUAUACUGGAAUAAAGACUGGAGCAUAUGUAUCUUUUCUGUAUACAGUUAUACUAAAUUCAGGGCCUUUAAGAUCAGUUGGGACAUCUAGAAAAUCUAUUUGAUUAAUAAAUAAUGGUUCAUUUAUAGGUUGAAAUCACAGAUCUUGUCUGUAAAAUCUGCUAUGAAUUUCUUGGUGUUAUAUGUUUCUCUCCAUGUAAUCAGGAUGUCAUCAACAUACUGCACUAACAUAACCAAACAUUAUACAAUUGACUAAAAAGAGAUAGAACUAGCAAACAUCCAGAAAUGAAACCAAUACUUUAUAUAAUACUAAUGAAAAAUGAAAAACUGAGCAAAAAUGAGGCAUACAUAGGAAAAUCAUACAGGACAUCGAAACAAAGAUUAAUAGAACACAUGCAAGAUAUAACUAAAGGCAAUCUGAACACAGCAUCGACAAGAAGAUUCUAUGAAACAAACCUACUAGAAAAACAGGAUCAAAUAAAAAUUAUAAAAAGUAUAUCCAAGGAGGCAAUCUAAGUAAAAUAACAAAGCCAUAUAAAUACAAAAAAGAAGAGAGAGUGCAU